rnacentral:rRNA from 1 species
GUCUGCAACCCGACUCCAUGAAGCUGGAUUCGCUAGUAAUCGCGCAUCAGCCACGGCGCGGUGAAUACGUUCCCGGGCCUUGUACACACCGCCCGUCAAGCCAUGGAAGCCGGGAGUGCCUGAAGUGCGUGAGCGCAAGCAGCGCCCUAAGGUAAAACCGGUGACUGGGGCUAAGUCGUAACAAGGUACC